GGCUCCUGAUCCGGACGUUCAUUUACUUGAGUCCGAACUCUCACUUUCUAACCCUGUGCAUUUGUUUUGGUUAGUAGAAUGCUUGCGUUCGAACACCUCUUCAUUUUACAAACACUAAGUCAAAGAAUGUUUAAAUUUUAUAACAAAACAAAACUUUCAACAACGGAUCUCUUGGCUCUCGCAUCGAUGAAGAACGCAGCAA
rnacentral:misc_RNA from 1 species